rnacentral:sRNA from 1 species
GGGCAGAGGGCACCACAUGUGAAAGGCCCAGGGCUGGGAGAGAUUACAGGGAGCGGAGGAACCUAUAAAAGGCUGGAGAGGGCUGGGCACAGGGGCUCACGCCUGGAAUCCCAGUGCUUUGGGAGGCCGAGGUGGGGGGAUCGCUUGGGCCCAGGGAUUCAAGACCAGUGUGGGCAACAUAGUGAGACCUCAUCUCUACGAAAAAAUUAAAAAAAAUUAGCCAGGCAUGAUGGCGCACACCUUAUGGUCACAGCUGCUCAGGAGGUUCAGGUGGAAGGAUCACAAUACCUCAUCUCAAAAAUAGAUAGACAGACCCCAUCUCGUAGGUAGGUAGGUAAGUAGGUAGACAGAUGAGAAUGGAGAGAGGGGUGGUUGGGGGCAGCCUGGAGGGAGUUGAGGGGCUGUCUGGGGGUGUCCUCUUCUCACACAUCACAUCUCUCUACAGCCAGGACAACAUGUGGCGCUGUCCCCGCCAAGUGUCCACUGUGGUGUGUGUGCACGAACCCCGCUGCCAGCCGCCUGACUGCCACGGCCACGGGACCUGCGUGGAUGGGCACUG